UUAGAAUUUCGAGUUCUCACCUUCAAUAUCAACCAAAAAUUCUUUCGCGUUUUCUUUGAGAAUAUCUACGAUUUUCUGAUCUGAGAGGUUGCCAACUUUUGAAAUAUCCCAUUUUCUUUAAAAACUCACAAUAAAGUUUGCAAUAUUACCGCUAAAUAAUAAAAAUUCAGGAGCCUUAAGCCCAAUUCGAAGCCAAAAGCGGUAUGAGCUGGUAUUUAAAGCAUAAUUUGGCAACUACGGCUAGUAUAAGCAUAGCUUUCGUUCAUCACUGUUGCUGUUUAAAGGCGUGAAAAUUCCAUGAAUGAAAAGUUGAUUUAUUCGUACUUAAUAUUACCUUGCAACAAAAAUGGUAACUAAUUUCCAACGGGCACUACCUAUCUGAUAUUUUGAUGUAAACGGAAACCUUACAGAACAACUCCACACAACAUGGAUAAAAUCUCGUAUAUUUUGCUCGUUGAGCAAGCCUAUGAUCUUGUGGCUUAAUUUGGCAGCACUGCGACUUCGUGGGUCUGAACAGAUGACAACUAAACUAACCUCAAAUUAAAAUCCCGCAGAAAUAAUUGGCAAAAACAGGGCGUUAUUCGUGAUAACAAUUAUUAAGAAAGUUUUACUUUUAUUUAAGAAAUUUUAAUUUUAAAAAAGCUUUACUUUUAUUUAAAUGAAAAUAAAUUUUAUGUAUAUAAUUAGCCCAGGAAAAGAAGUAAGAUUUAAGUUGGUUAAAACAUGUAAUUGUUUUGAAAUAUAUGUAUAUGCAUAUGCAAGUUAAUAUAUGAAGGGGAUUAAUUUAAGAUAUUCUAAAACUAAUGCUAUUUAU